UGGCGACCAUAGCGUUUUGGACCCACCUGACUCCAUCCCGAACUCAGAAGUGAAACGAAACAGCGUCGAUGGUAGUGUGGGGUCUCCCCAUGUGAGAG
rnacentral:rRNA from 1 species